GCGGCCAUCUUGGUUGGUUGGCCGAGUAACCGAACACAUUUUUUAAACUAGAUACCCCAAUGAUGAUUGUGACCAAGUUUGGUUAAAUUUGGCCCAGUAGUUUCAGAGGAGAAGAUUUUUGUAAAAGUUAACGACGACGGACGACGACGGACGCCGGACGCCAAGUGAUGAGAAAAGCUCACUUGGCCCUUCGGGCCAGGUGAGCUAAAAAAAUGAGAUA
rnacentral:lncRNA from 1 species